CACGUAGGGCGCAAGCGUUGUCCGGAAUUAUUGGGCGUAAAGAGCUCGUAGGCGGCUUGUCGCGUCGUCCGUGAAAACCUGCAGCUCAACUGCAGGCUUGCGGGCGAUACGGGCAGGCUAGAGUUCGGUAGGGGAGACUGGAAUUUCUGGUGUAGCGGUGAAAUGCGCAGAUAUCAGGAGGAACACCGGUGGCGAAGGCGGGUCUCUGGGCCGAUACUGACGCUGAGGAGCGAAAGCGUGGGGAGCGAACAGG
rnacentral:rRNA from 1 species